GUAGAACAAUUUGAAAUAUAUUUACAUUUCCAAGCCCUUAGAGAUUAGUCAGUUGGUAAAACUAUACUCUUCAGAAAUUUAAAACCAAAAACGUUUUUUGAGCACUUAUAAUUUAUUUUGACGAACGCUGUAUGGAUCCCCGCUGCUGAAUGGAUAUUUGUAGGCAUUAUUGCUUUCAACUGCGUUUUUAGGUUUUUGGUUUAAUUAUUUCUAUAAGGCCUGUUUCAAACGUGGCAUUUUACAUGAGUCAAAAAUUCCUCAUUAUCUUUUGUUUUAAAUACAUUCAACACAUCUAAAAAGCAACGCUUAAAAUGGGCCUAAAUCAUGUAAAUUCCAGACGUCGACUGAUUUCAAAGAUUAGCAAUUUUUGGAGACAGGGUGUCUCGCAUAUUAUAUACGAUUUUUAGAACAAUGACAACGAGUUUGAUAAAAAAUAGCUUCAGUAACAUCCCGUCCAAUUUAAAUUCAACAAAGUCACCAGCAGUAUGGUUUUGAACUUUGCAAUCAGCGAUAAAAUCGAGAAACAGAUAAAUUAUUAAAGAACAAUGGUUGUUUGCGUGAUAUUCUAUUUCUUGUAUAUCAAUAACUGUCAUUUUUUUUCAAAUUUUAAUUCCAGAUCAUUGUCAUAUUGUCGGGAUAUUGAUGUUCUCUGCGAACAAAAAUUGUCACUGCUAAACAUUUGCACGAAUAAUGUAUUAGUUCAGAUCAACACAAUGACUACAAUGGUUAUUUGUGUGAUAUGUAUACGCAUUUGCAAUCUAAAUUGGAUUGCAAAGCAACACUUGCGUAACGCCUUGGUCUUGUGGUCUGAUAUUUCGCUUUUCUUGGAACGCAACUCUAAUGGUGAUGGAAGCAAUAAUUAAAUCAGCUUUGUAUAUAGUUGUAGAUGUCGGGGAACGCCAAAAUGGUAUGCAUUUUAUGGAUGUAUUUAAUUAUGAAUUAAAGAUAGUAUACAAUAAAUUGGCAAAUGAA